AGUGAACGCUGGCGGUAGGCCUAACACAUGCAAGUCGAACGGCAGCACAGUAAGAGCUUGCUCUUACGGGUGGCGAGUGGCGGACGGGUGAGGAAUACAUCGGAAUCUACUUUUUCGUGGGGGAUAACGUAGGGAAACUUACGCUAAUACCGCAUACGACCUACGGGUGAAAGCAGGGGAUCUUCGGACCUUGCGCGAUUGAAUGAGCCGAUGUCGGAUUAGCUAGUUGGCGGGGUAAAGGCCCACCAAGGCGACGAUCCGUAGCUGGUCUGAGAGGAUGACCAGCCACACUGGAACUGAGACACGGUCCAGACUCCUACGGGAGGCAGCAGUGGGGAAUAUUGGACAAUGGGCGCAAGCCUGAUCCAGCCAUACCGCGUGGGUGAAGUAGGCCUUCGGGUUGUAAAGCCCUUUUGUUGGGAAAGAAAAGCAGCAGGUUAAUACCCCGCUGUUCUGACGGUACCCAAAGAAUAAGCACCGGCUAACUUCGUG
rnacentral:rRNA from 1 species